CAUUUCUUCUCCUGAUAGCCAAGACUUAAUAGAAUGAUGUGCAGGUGAGAAAAGGCUUUAUUCACGGUAGAUUUAUGUGUUUUUUAGGAAAGUACUGUUGGUAUCAAUUUCCGUUUUUGUUUUUUGGUUGACUUUGAUGGUUCUAAAUCUACCGUCACAUUAAUUUGACAUAAAAGACGUUUGUAUAUAUUUCCUGUACUUGAAAGGAUAGAUGGUUUCUUUUACUCUUAAUAGUAUUUGUACAAAAAAAUAAAUGAGUACAAUAAAUCACAGUACUGCUCUCACUGUUGGGCUGAUUGAGGGAAACCCUCACCACCAUUUCCUCAUACCUCCUUAAAUUCAGUGCUGCAUCGCCUAAAAAAUACAGCCUAAGAUGUCACCAAGCUUUGCUAUGUGCACCAGGAUAUUAAUAAAGACUGAGCCGUAUCCAUUAAGCGUGCAGUACUAUGUGAUCCAGCAGCAAAUUUGAGUUAAUAACAGACUACCUUACUUUGAUGUAAAGUGCACUGGACGUCCGCCUUUAUUAGAGCCUGUUCAGGUGGUUGUGACAAGCAUUUCUGAAUAAGUAGUGAAGUUUUGCUGCUGUGCCUCAUGCGUACAUGUACGCGUCUAUUAAUCAGGAGUCCCUAAUUGUCCCCGCUGUGCAGAGAAAUUGUUUCGGCAGAAUUAGCAUCAAUCCAUGUAUCAACAUAAGGUAUACGACAACCUGUGUGUGCUUUCUGCAUGUUUAGUAGAAACAAGUUUAUUAAAGUAAAACUGCUGCAAUAUGCUUAUCUGCAAGAGCUAAUAUCUUGAUUGGUUUAAUCCAUGUUACAGAGGCCCAUGUGCCCUUUUAGGUUGCUUCCAUAGGGUCCUGAUAAUAUUGUCACAUUACAUCCAUUGCUGCCAAAGCCUCUCUUUCAAUGUUUUUUCGCUGCUUCCAUGCUGCUGUUCGUUACACUUUCACACUGCAUGCAAAGUAGAGACAAAGCAAAGUACAGCCAUUGUCAGCUCUCUGAACAAAGACAGAAUGUACAGAGUACAGUUGGCGGGGGCAGAAACACGGACACCUCAGACAUGGUGGAACUAAGAAAACCGCUUCGGCUAGAGCUGAUACAAACGGUAUGGGACUUUUUUCUUUUCUUUUUUUUAAUCUUAUCGCUGUUGCAAGUCUCACAGGUUGAAUGUCCCACAGGGUACCUCCCGCUACUCCAGAUGGCAAGUACACCCCCUCACUGCCUCCACUUUCUUUGAGAGAAGGAAAGUACAACAGCACAUGUAAGAGAAGAAAAAAAAUGAAGUCUUUCUUGAUCAUUAAACCUGUUUUUGCAAAAUGCUGUCGGCUGAAUAAGAGCGUGUACUUUUCAGGUAAAACAUCGUCCGGCUCUCAGGAAAGUUUAAAAAUACAUCCUUGCAACUUUGCAUGUACGCACAAGCUGUUUCACUCGUGUGAAGAGGGUCUUUGGAGUUUCCAGCGUUUGAAAUUAUAGGGUUAUUCAUAGACCUUUAUACCAACGGCACAAAGGUGAAAAUGAUCGCCUUUGUCUUGCCAAGAGGAGGGUCGUUGAUAGUGGAUGGCUGGCGUUCGGUAGCAAGUUCAGGCCGACAGUCCAAGCCAGAGAGAAGUAUCCAUUAAUCAAAAAACACCACACACACGCACACACACACACACACACACACACACACACACACACACACACACACACACACACACACACACACCAUUAUUUCACUGCCCUCCAAGUAACGAUUGGCUUGCAUAGACUCGGACUCUAAUUUAAUGUAAUUCCAUUUAUCACCCUGAAUUAGAUUUCAUGUUGCUACUUAAUAAUUUACAUCCCCUGGAAAGCACUCUUGGCUUUCACCUCGGUAUCGGUGAAUACUGAAGAUGACUGGAGGUAAUGGCCAAUACAGUGAGCAUAAUUUACUUUACAGAGUGACACAGGCAGAGCAUGGAAACAAGAUUUUAGGUGCACAAUGGGUAAGCCAUGGUGUGGCACGACUGACGUGUUGAGCCGCCAAUCAGCUGUGUAAAACUUUAAUUUAGUUCAAGUGUGUUUGCUGUUGAAAGGGUAGAGGUUGGUGCAAUCCAUCGAUGUGUCGAUGCAUUGCGAUGCUUCACGUGACGAUUAGCUAACAUCAAUGUUUAAAAUAAUUAAGUGAUUAAAUAAUAAUGUCCAUGCUUUGCCGCAACGCCAGAACAAAAACAUGUAAUCGGAACCUUACUGCGCGCCGCCCGGACUGUUUAGUGAGCGGGACCACAACAAACAGAGCAUGUUAGUAUCUUUGCAAAAUGGCAACAGCUUCUGCAGCCUCCAAAGAGCGACCGAUUCUCUUUGCAGUCAACCGGGGUUGACACCACAAACAUGAGGCAGCACCUCGUACACUUCACCCCGGAACAGAGGGGGCUCCUACGGUCGUGCCCGCCACACAGAGGACCAUCCCGAAGACUGUCUCCAAACUUCUCGGUUUAAGUUUAGUAUGUCAAAGUACAAAUGUUUACAUAGCAGUCAUACAAUAAAAAAAAAUAAAAAAUCCCACUUGUAUGGAAAAAAGCACUAAAAGUGGCAAUAAUCUAAGAAUCAUGGCACCAAUAAUCAAAUCAAUAAUCAUUAAAAUUGAAGAAUCGAGGCUCCCAUAAUCAAAAUCGAAUCGAAUAAUGAGGCACCCUUGUUGGAACACCCUAUUAAAGGGUAACAUCUCAAAUCAUAGUAGAGUCUUGGGUCCUCAGUGUUUAAGUUUAAUAAGAAACAGGAGGCAUUGACUAAACCCUCCAUGCUUAGCAGAGGAUGUUUGGUUAUGCACACAUUCUGGCGCUGUUUUUUUGGCCACAUGAAGAGGAGCAUGAAUCAUCCUUCAUUAUGCUCUAAAUGUUGGGAGAUGAAAUAGAUUGUAUAUAUUCAAUACAUAUACAUAUCAUUGUCCUCUCCUCUAUCUUCUUAGCUCAAAUCCAGUCCGUGCCAUCAGCGCUUCGGCUAAAAUCAAAUCACGACUCUUGAAAAUACAGACCUGCGUCAGCCUGAACCCUAAGUGCUGCAACACUGGCAGAAGAAUUUAAAAACAACUCCCCGGACACAACCCUCAUCUACAAGAAGUCUUCUGGGAGGAAAACAUCCACAAAUGGUGCCGCAUAAUCUUUCUGCAUUGUUGUGGGAAAGUUCCAAGUGUGGAACAAUCAAUUAGAAGACAAUUAUUAUUGUUUAUCAAAUGUCAGCAGUUGUCAUCCCUCCACUGUCUGGGGCCUGAAGCACUCUGAUUGCAGUGACCAAUUCCGGUCCGUGUCUAGGAUCUCAAAGUACACUUGAGGACAUCAUUUCACAUUUAGCUGAAUGUCUCCUUGGACUCAAGGAUGAACUGAUUUGAAUUCGGUGGUUAAAGGUGACCCUAUUUCACACAGAUGUCUCAUAGAUCUAAAUGAGAAAGUGAUAUUUUUCACCCUGAAUGUCAAAGGUCAACUAACCGUGACACGCUACUAUCAUUGAGAACCACUUUUCUGUUAUUUAAUUCUGUCUUGAUCUUGUGGAUGUCAUAAAUCAAGAAUGCUCGGAGAUAAUAUCCAAAAAGCGUGCAU
rnacentral:lncRNA from 1 species